rnacentral:lncRNA from 1 species
CUGCCGUCAUCCUAGAUAAACUAUUUUUUUUGGAAUACGGUAUUUCAACUCACAAUCAUAUUGUGGUCUUGUGGAAAGUAGAAGUAGUAUCCCAUGGAUUCUUUUGGAUACCCUAUAAAGCGAGCUAUAAUAGAUCUAUCCUCCAACUUAUCCGCCAUCUGUAUCUUGACAUAAAACAAACAUCUCCAAGUCUUGAGAUAACCCAGACUCGACUUCAUACCGAACUAUA